rnacentral:rRNA from 1 species
GCCUGGCCCUAAAUCUCGAUACUUACAGUACCCAAGUAUCCGCCCGAGAACUACGAGCACAAACGCUUAAAACUCUAAGGACUUGGCGGUGCCCUAAACCCACCUAGAGGAGCCUGUUCUAUAAUCGAUAAUCCACGAUAAACCCAACCACCCCUUGCCCAAAUAUCAGCCUACAUACCGCCGUCGCCAGCCUACCUCGAAUGAGAGCACAACAGUGGGCGAAAUAGCACUCCGCUAGUAAGACAGGUCAAGGUAUAGCCUAUGGGAUGGAAGAAAUGGGCUACAUUCUCUACAAUAGAGCAUCACGGAAAGAAGUGUGAAACCGCUUCUAGAAGGAGGAUUUAGCAGUAAAAUAGGAUAAUAAAGCCUAUUUUAAACCGGCCCUGGGGCACGU